GAGUAGCUCAGUUGGUAGAGUCGCGGUCUCCAAAACCGUUGGUCGUGGGUUCGAGUCCUACCUC
rnacentral:tRNA from 1 species